rnacentral:lncRNA from 1 species
AUGCCUUUCCCCAAGCCGUGGACUGAUCCAGCGCAUGUGGGCGAUUUCUUUAACUUUCUCCCCUUCGGUCUUUCAUCUUUGGGUUGCACAAUGGAAGGGAGAGAGCGGGGCGAAAUAUCUCGCACCCAGGUCGGGCGAGCAGCGGACUGUAAUUCUCUUGCAUGCAACAAGACCGAGGAAAAGAAAGAGAGGGGGGGUGGGGGGGGAAAGCUCCCAAUGCCCAAUCAAUGGCAAGACGAAGUGAUUUCCUUGCCUCUCGGAUUCCUCUCGGCAGCGUGGAAAACGAGCCCCUGGAAAGCAACUUCAACUCAUCCAGGCUCCCGUGCAGAACACUCCGGUUCCAACAAGUCAGCCGAUCCCCGGGUUCAGCCGGCUAGUGCAUCUUGCAGCUGGGGCGCCGUAACCUCACAAAUCCCUGCAUCUCUCUUUAUUCCCUUCUGCAGCAGCUCCAAGACUCCGGCGGUGUUUACUCCUGCGCUCGCGGCGCUUCCCAGGCCCCCGCGCGAUCGCUGCCGACCGCCGCGUUCGGUCGCCGAAUGUUACCCGGUUCUGAAUGUUACACUUACACAUUCCAUUCCCGACACUACAGCGCUGACCUCAUCCAUCCACGCAGCCCGCGCUGCCAUUGGCCGAGCGUCACGUCCGGGGUGGGCGGUGCUUCCGCUGCGCCCAUUCAUAACCCCCGGCCACCGGCAGAGGCGCCGGCGCGGCGCUGGGGGUGCGGGCGGCGAAGGGACCCCGGGGCGCCUCGGCCGGGCCCCAGCGGGCGGAGCGCGGGGCUGCCCCGAGAGAGUCCGCGGCCCUUCGGUGCCCCGGGAUCCAGACCCCGGCCUGGGCCGCACCACCUGCAGCCGCCGCGCCGGGAAACCAGCGCCUCCCAGAGGCGCCUGCGGGCGCGCGGAGGCUGGAGAACCGGGGACUGGCGGGCGCUUCCCCGGCCCGCUGCUCCGGCUGCCCCGGUCGUCCUCGAGAAUUCCUACUCCUCCGCUGCCUGCCGGGAGCGCCUCCCCGAGCGGGCGGCGGCGUGUGUUCGGGUUCCUGGAGAAGGAUGCUCGAAAAGUGGAGCAGUGGGGCGAGCCCUUGGGCUGCAGGAGGAAAAAAAAAAAAAAAGGACUUCAUAGAAAGCGACCGCUGACCAGAAGGAUGUCUCUCUCUGCCCACCUUCCACCCUCUGAGGGCCCCAAAUUUUCCUUCCUACAAAGCAUUUAAACAGGUCCCUUAUCCCCUAAAUGUGUGCAGUGUCGCUUCAAUCGUGUCCGACUCUUUGCCACCCCCAUGGACUGUAACCUGCCAGGCUACUCUGUCCAUGGGAUUCUCCAGGCAAGAAUACUGGAGCAGGUUGCCAUGCCUUCCUCCAGGAGAUCUUCGCAACCCAGGAAUCGAACCCAUUAUCUCCAGCGUCUCCUGCAUUGCCCACCUCUUUUUCCUUACCCCCAAGGAACCACCCCAAUCCCCAAUAAUAAAAAGGAAAUACAACCGAAAGGAAUCGUUUUA